rnacentral:rRNA from 1 species
UACGUAGGGUGCGAGCAUUGUCCGGAAUUAUUGGGCGUAAAGAGCUCGUAGGCGGCCUGUCACGUCGGAUGUGAAAGCCCGGGGCUUAACCCCGGGUCUGCAUUCGAUACGGGCAGGCUAGAAUUCGGUAGGGGAGACUGGAAUUCCUGGUGUAGCGGUGAAAUGCGCAGAUAUCAGGAGGAACACCGGUGGCGAAGGCGGGUCUCUGGGCCGAUAUUGACGCUGAGGAGCGAAAGCGUGGGGAGCAAACAGG